UGGGGAAUAUUGGACAAUGGGCGAAAGCCUGAUCCAGCCAUGCCGCGUGUGUGAAGAAGGUCUUCGGAUUGUAAAGCACUUUAAGUUGGGAGGAAGGGUUGUAGAUUAAUACUCUGCAAUUUUGACGUUACCGACAGAAUAAGCACCGGCUAACUCUGUGCCAGCAGCCGCGGUAAUACAGAGGGUGCAAGCGUUAAUCGGAAUUACUGGGCGUAAAGCGCGCGUAGGUGGUUUGUUAAGUUGGAUGUGAAAGCCCCGGGCUCAACCUGGGAACUGCAUCCAAAACUGGCAAGCUAGAGUACGGUAGAGGGUGGUGGAAUUUCCUGUGUAGCGGUGAAAUGCGUAGAUAUAGGAAGGAACACCAGUGGCGAAGGCGACCACCUGGACUGAUACUGACACUGAGGUGCGAAAGCGUGGGGAUCAAACA
rnacentral:rRNA from 1 species